rnacentral:rRNA from 1 species
GACGAACGCUGGCGGCGUGCUUAACACAUGCAAGUCGAACGGAAAGGCCCUGCUUUUGUGGGGUGCUCGAGUGGCGAACGGGUGAGUAACACGUGAGUAACCUGCCCUUGACUUUGGGAUAACUUCAGGAAACUGGGGCUAAUACCGGAUAGGAGCUCCCGCUGCAUGGUGGGGGUUGGAAAGUUUCGGCGGUUGGGGCUGGACUCGCGGCUUAUCAGCUUGUUGGUGGGGUAGUGGCUUACCAAGGCUUUGACGGGUAGCCGGCCUGAGAGGGUGACCGGCCACAUUGGGACUGAGAUACGGCCCAGACUCCUACGGGAGGCAGCAGUGGGGAAUAUUGCACAAUGGGCGGAAGCCUGAUGCAGCAACGCCGCGUGCGGGAUGACGGCCUUCGGGUUGUAAACCGCUUUCGCCUGUGACGAAGCGUGAGUGACGGUAAUGGGUAAAGAAGCACCGGCUAACUACGUG